rnacentral:rRNA from 1 species
UGGGGAAUAUUGCGCAAUGGGCGAAAGCCUGACGCAGCCACGCCGCGUGAGCGAUGAAGGCCUUCGGGUCGUAAAGCUCUGUGGGGAGAGAAGAAUAAAGCCUGUGAAGAAUGGGCCUUGACGGUAUCUCCUUAGCAAGCACCGGCUAACUCCGUGCCAGCAGCCGCGGUAAUACGGAGGGUGCAAACGUUGCUCGGAAUCAUUGGGCGUAAAGCGCACGUAGGCGGCGAAGCAAGUCGGGUGUGAAAGCCCUGGGCUCAACCCAGGAAGUGCAUUCGAAACUAUUUCGCUUGAAUCUCGGAGGGGGUCAGAGAAUUCCCGGUGUAGAGGUGAAAUUCGUAGAUAUCGGGAGGAAUACCAGUGGCGAAGGCGCUGACCUGGACGAAGAUUGACGCUGAGGUGCGAAAGCGCGGGGAGCAAACA